UAUUUUUGUUUCCCUUCCCUUAGGUUCAUCUGUUGUGUUUCUCAAAUUCCACAUAUUAACGAAAUCAUAUGAUACCUAUCUUUAUCUAACUUAUUUCACUUAGCAUAAUACCCUCCAAUUCCAUCCAUGUUGUUGCAAAUGGCAAUAUUUCAUUCUUUUUGAUUACCAAGCAGUAUUCC